UACGUCCCUGCCCUUUGUACACACCGCCCGUCGCUACUACCGAUUGAAUGGCUCAGUGAGGCCUCCGGACUGGCUCGAAGAGGUUGGCAACGACCACUUCGAGCCGGAAAGUUCGUCAAACUCGGUCAUUUAGAGGAAGUAAAAGUCGUAACAAGGUUUCCGUAGGUGAACCUGCGGAAGGAUCAUUACCUAGAGUUGUAGGCUUUGCCUACCAUCUCUUACCCAUGUCUUUUGAGUACCCUCGUUUCCUCGGCGGGUCCGCCCGCCGAUUGGACAAACUUAAACCCUUUGUAAUUGAAAUCAGCGUCUGAAAAAACAUAAUAGUUACAACUUUCAACAACGGAUCUCUUGGUUCUGGCAUCGAUGAAGAACGCAGCGAAAUGCGAUAAGUAGUGUGAAUUGCAGAAUUCAGUGAAUCAUCGAAUCUUUGAACGCACAUUGCGCCCCUUGGUAUUCCAUGGGGCAUGCCUGUUCGAGCGUCAUUUGUACCUUCAAGCUCUGCUUGGUGUUGGGUGUUUGUCUCGCCUUUGCGUGUAGACUCGCCUUAAAACAAUUGGCAGCCGGCGUAUUGAUUUCGGAGCGCAGUACAUCUCGCGCUUUGCACUCAUAACGACGACGUCCAAAAAGUACUUUUUACACUCUUGACCUCGGAUCAGGUAGGGAUACCCGCUGAACUUAAGCAUAUCAAUAAGCGGAGGAAAAGAAACCAACAGGGAUUGCCCUAGUAACGGCGAGUGAAGCGGCAACAGCUCAAAUUUGAAAUCUGGCGUCUUUGGCGUCCGAGUUGUAAUUUGCAGAGGGCGCUUUGGCAUUGGCAGCGGUCCAAGUUCCUUGGAACAGGACGUCA
rnacentral:rRNA from 1 species